UAUUUGAGAAACUGUAAUCACUGAUUUUUCCCCUGAGGAAUCGCCAUCAUACUAUUUAAGAUUUUCACCUAGAAUGUUACCUAUCUGUCUGUGUUAUCUUACUGCAUAAUUGCCUGCCUUGAAUUUUAAAUCCUACGAGGAAACUCUGUAUUCUUUUCUACCUAAGUUAUUACUGUGAUGCUGGAAGCUUGCACUUGGAAAAACUCCCAAGGUAGAAUCAGUUUUGCAAAUCCACCUACAUGCUGGUUUUCCUCUUACAAAUCAUUAACAAAGGUGUCAACCAGAAAAGUCACUAGCAGCCAUGCCUGCAGCACCCCACUGAUCAUCUGAGUAGAAUUUGAUAUAUUACCUUUAGUAAUACUGCCUUGUCCUUGUCAACUAAUUUUCAGUUCAUGUUGGGGCCUUAAUGGUCAAUACAAACAAAAUCACUUUUUCCC
rnacentral:lncRNA from 1 species